rnacentral:sRNA from 2 species
ACCGAACCUGGGCGAGCAUGAGCAAUGGCGUACCUCAUUACCUUAAAAUAUUUUUUUGAUAUUACUAACUUGUUUUGGAAUCAAGUUUUCUACUAUGUCUACCAUUCUUUUUAAAUCUUUCAAGUAUUUCCCCUUGAAGUCCGAAUCCAGACAAUGGAUUUCCUAUUUGCCUCUGGUGGGAAUCGGGUUAUGAAUUAAACUUCUUCUAUUUGUUCAUCCCUCGUGUUGAGCUAUAUCAGGAGGGAAACCUGGUGAAACGAGGAGAGAAGAGAAAAAAAAAUUCCAAUAAAGGAUCCAAAUGCUGCACGAAGGUACUCAAGCCAUUCGUCACAAAAUCAAACUAAGUGAGUGAGGUCAUGUAUUUUGAACCUGUGACAAACAUAUUUCAUUAUGAGGAUAAUCUCUACAACCCAUCCAUACGUUCAUCGAACGUGGAGCCAAAUCAUUUAUAUCCUUUUUAUACAUCUUUAGCCGUAUCGUAGUCCAUCUGGGAGAAACUAAAAGAAAAGGGAAACUUGAACCAAACCCAGUGAGAAACGCCAACCAAUUCAAAAUACAAGAAAGAGGAAAUGUGAGGGGAACUGAUAACAUCCAAAACUUCUAUGGGUCAAGUCCGUCUAUAAACGCCAAACCCCCAAGCCAUCCGCAAGAUAGCCAAGCCCCACGCCAUCCCCAAACUAUCCCAGACGACAUUCAACUUGCUCCCUUUGACCUCUCUCCAACCCACGGGUACCUCCGCCACAGGAAUACCGGCAAAUUCAGCAAGCAUAAGCAUUUCAACGUCAAAAAUCCAUCCUUCAAAGUGCAUGUAAGGAAUGAUGUAUGGUAAAGAGGCACGGGAGAAGAGCUUGAAACCACAUUGGGUAUCUUUUAUCGAAGCUGUGGCAGGUGGGGUGAGUAUGCGCAGGAUUAGGUGAAAAGAGUGCAUGAGGAAGUUCCGGAGUUUGGAGCGCUGGGUCGGAGUAUAUCUGUUAGUGGGUGAAGAGUACGUGG